rnacentral:misc_RNA from 1 species
AAAUAAACCCGAUGGGAGUGGUAGCUGCCAGCCUCGCGCGGGCACUGCAAACGGACAGCGGGACUAAAA